rnacentral:rRNA from 1 species
AGAGUUUGAUCAUGGCUCAGGAUGAACGCUGGCGGCGUGCCUAACACAUGCAAGUCGAGCGAUUCUCUUCGGAGAAGAGCGGCGGACGGGUGAGUAACGCGUGGGUAACCUGCCCUGUACACACGGAUAACAUACCGAAAGGUAUGCUAAUACGAGAUAAUAUACUUUUAUCGCAUGGUAGAAGUAUCAAAGCUCCGGCGGUACAGGAUGGACCCGCGUCUGAUUAGCUAGUUGGUAAGGUAACGGCUUACC